ACAGCUAUCCGAGCUGCCCAU
rnacentral:miRNA from 14 species